GGAAUGGCCAGUUCACAGAUGUCUUCUUCCGAUGUCCAUUAUAUCUAUAAAGAAACAAGAAGGAGAAGAUCUGGUGAGGAAGUAGACAACUUCUCAAAAGAUGAAAAAGACUUGAUUUUGAGGAUGUAUGAGCUAGUGGGAGGGAGAUGGUCGAUAAUUGCUGGAAGAAGUGGUGGGGAAAUCAAGAACUACUGCGAAGCUCAUUUUUCAGACAAGAAAUGAGUAAGAUGGCAUUAAUAUGUAUAUGUAAAAUAAUUUCGAAUCUAUGUUAUGUUUCUUAUUGUUUUAGUGCGAUUCUUGAAACGAAAAGGGAUAGAAGGAAGCUACGUCGACUUUCCACAUAAAGGCUUUGUGUCCAUCCAAAUUACAGCGAUUGAUUAUAUUACUUAUUUUGAUUUUUUUAACAA